GGGCGUGUGGCUCAGUUGGUAGAGCGUUCGCUUAGCAGCUUCUUUCCCUCUAAAUCCUCUCCUUGGAGAGAAUUUAUAUAAAAAGAAUUCUCCUGCGAAAGGUCCUGGGUUCGAUUCCCAGCUCGUCCA